GGGGACCGAACCCAGGGCCUUGCGCUUCCUAGGCAAGCGCUCUACCACUGAGCUAAAUCCCCAGCCCCGGGAAUUCUUUAAUUUAGCAGACAUCAUUUAGACCUCAGCCACGUUAGACUGUCCCACAGGGCUUGAAGUCCUGUACUGUAGGCUAAGUGUGGCAGAUACAGUUCCACUGAAACAAAAAGGUGGACAUAAUUCUGUUGCUUUUCUGGAAUGGUGUCGUAGAAUGUGACCUGUGCAAACACUGUAUCCUAAAAUGUCCAUUUCCUUAGCUCCUCCUGUAGCUGAAUUUACAGAGCGUGAACCCAACGGGACUGGUGUUGGCCCUGGUAUGUUUUCUCUUCCGGUGUCCCCGGUUUGAGGUACUUUCAAAAGUCACUCUCCUGGAUGUGACACUUAAUUAGGAAAUGACGUCACUGCAUUCCAGUUUGUGCUUUAUAAUGUCGUUUUGCUGUACCUGAGGGAAAUGUCCUGUUAAAGAAGGAGAGAGAGGGAAAAGCAGGAAUAUCAACUCAAUGCUUCUUAACUGCUUGAGGCCAUAGGUCCCCUUUCAAAUCUAUGGCUCUCAUGGAUUUGUCCCUGAAAAAAAAAAAAAAAGGGACCGCACCUGGCUGACCCCCCUUUCUAAGAUUAAUAAUUCACUCACUGUAGUCGGUGACCUGAGGAGAGAGGAGACAGCAAAUGUGAAGUGUUCAGAAACCAUGCCUGUCCACAUGCUGAGGUUUAAAUUGGGCUGUCUCAGUCCUGAGCAUCCCCUCGGAGGACUGAAACCAAAUUAAAUAUUAGACUAAUUGGAAACAGUUGAAAGGACUGCUGGGCACUUCCCACCCUCCUGCCUGGCUCUCCUGGGCACACUUCAGUUCUUUCCUCAGGAGUUCCUGUAAAAUAUUUUAAAUACGUAUAAUUGCCGCUGCUGCCGCCACCGCCGCCACCACCAUCAUUACCACCAUCAUCACCAUCAUCAUCACUAUCACCGUCAUCACCACCAUCACCAUCAUCAUCACCAUUACCUUAUCACUGUCAUCACCUCUAUCACCAUCAUCACCAUCAGCACCAUCAUCAUCAUGGUAUGUAUACGACAUACAUGUAGGGAAGGGGAGCGUGUGUGCCCUGGUUAGAGAACAACUUUCAGGGGUCGGUUCUGUAUUUCACCUUUGCUUGGGUUCCGGGAAUCAACUGCAGGUAAUCAGAUUUCUACAGUGAGCACUUUACCUAUAGAGCUAUCUCACUAGCCCUUUGGCUCUGUUUCUUUACAAACCUCCCUUGGUCUGAAUGGUUCGAUGUAAAUAUCCAAUCAAUUAAUUCUCGGAUGACCUCUCAUGUACGUGCAGGAAGAAGAUGAGGUGUAGAUCACAGUGCCCCAGCCUCUCCCUGAAACCAGAUAGUGAGGCUGUUGUAUUUCAUCCACAUGUCCCAUACCCUGGGCUUUUGACCCCUGGAUAAUAUGUAGAAGGCUAUGCCAGAGCCCGUGGUAAGUUUCAGAGUGGGUACCAAAGCAGCCUCCUGUCAUGUCAUAGCAUCCUAGACAAAUGACAUUCUUCUUGUGUAAAUGAGUGCUAGUAAUCAAUCCAUCCUGAUCAAGAGAAAAGAGGCCUCACAUCCAGGGACACGGGGCGGAAGAAGCAAGAGGAGGACAUGCUUGCAGACAGCCUGGUGACAGUGUUUGAUCCCGGAUCCACGUUUGCUGUGGAAAAUAUUAUUUGGGGGUUUCUAUCUCAUAUGGACCAUGUGGUUCCCAAAUAAAAGACACAAAAAUCUUUACAUUUACAAUAAGCCUUAAAGCACUAGAGCUGGACAGAUAUCAAUCCUCUAUGCUUUUUGUCUACUUCCCUGACUAUAACCAAGAUAUCAUUUACUGUGUUCUGUCUGGGCAGCUCUUACUCCACCAGGCCGUCUCUCAUGGCUAUGCACUCACUGUCCACCUACCCCAAGGCGACUUCUUUCUUCUUUCUCUCUUCUUCAUGGUCCCUGCCUGAGAUUCCAAGCCCAGGAAGCUUUGCUCUGUCCCUCUCUCUUCUGCCCAUCCCAGGCUGUAGGCAUCUUUAUUAACCAAUCACAGAUAACCUGGGAGCAAGGUUUACACAACAAAAGCUGGUAUGCGUGAGGAUCCCCUUGUCUUGGAGCAACCAGAUCUUGGGGUACAGAGUUUAGCAUUUGGUGCAAGCAGCCCCAGACCAACCUGACACACAUCCACAAAUGGAAGCAAAGAUCUUACUCCUGCAAGUUGUCCUCUAACGUCCACACCCCUAAGGGUAAGCGUCUAUCUCAUAGAUGACAAAGGUGGCUCUGCAUGUGUGAGCCUCAUGUAAGGGCCACACCAGGGUCGGGAUUUGUGUGUAGCAUCCAGUAACCACUGAGUCUAAUGCCUUAUUCUGCAACGCAAUCAUUUAGGGUGAAAAGAAUGCAGAGCUCAGGGAGUUCAGAAUGCUAAACCACAGAAUGUCUGCAGGAAUUGCAGGCAGGGGGUUGGUGCAUUCCUGAGGGUAAGUCUUCCUGACUCAGCAUCCAGCUCCCUCUGCCCAACCCUGCCUGCCCCCUCUUCACAUUGCAGUCUGUGUGAGAGGAUAGCGAGACCCCAAAGCACCUACUUAUCACUUUGUUUAGGAUAAGAACUGUACACUCUCUAGACAGGAGACUAGCUCAGCGGAGACAGAAAAUGGAAAGAUAGCUGCAGAUUGAAUAUCUCUUCUCCCAGACAGUGGGACCAGAAUAGUUUUAGGGGCUUUCUAGGAGGUAGGAUUGGAAUAUUUGCAUAUACAUAGAGACAUCUUGAGGAUGAGACCCAAGUCUAGAUGUGAGACACAUUGCACACAGUCUGCAGGUAACCUGAUAGAAUGUUUUAAGUUACUUUGUCCAUGAAAGCAAGUUUGCCUACUGUGUUGCUCAGCUUUGCAUCAGUGUAACAAGAUGCUUGAGGUAACUUACGGUGAGGAAAGGUUUAUUUAGGACCAGACUUUCAGACCUUGCUCUGGCAAGGAGGACGUGACAAGAAGCUGCUCAAUUUGUGGUAGCUGGGAGGCAAAAGGGGGAGUGGUCGGGGUUCCAAUAUUCUUCUCAAAGGUGUGUCCGCAAGUGGCCCAACUUCCCUCUUACGAGCUUCACCACCUAAACGUGCCACCAUCUCCCCAUCAAGUGAAGAAUGAGGCCUUUAACCUGUGGGUCCCAGGGGACACUCAAGAUACAAACUUUGACAGGCACAAUGUUCACAAAGCACCAGACUUACUGCUAUACAUGGACACUAAAAAGUUUUUGAUUUUGGAUCAUUAUGAGUUUCAGACACCUGCAUUAGAGAUCUUCAGCCUACAUCAGCUCAGUGAUGGAAAGCUUAAGUCAGUCUCUCUGAGGCCAUGUUGAUGUGUACAUUUUUUUUAUUAUUUUUUUAUUUACAUGAGUAUAUUGUCGCUGUCUUCAGACACACCAGAAGAGGGCAUUAGAUCUCAUUACAGAUGGUUGUGAGCCACCAUGUGGUUGCUGGGAAUUGAACUCAGGACCUCUGGAAGAGCAGUCAGUGCUCUUAACCACUGAGCCAUCUCUCCAACGCUGAUGUGUAAAUUUUUAAAAAAUAAUAACCAACAUAAUUUAGUAUAAUAUGGAAACAUUUCAGCAAGAACAUUUUAAGCCAGUUUUGACAAGUGAAAGGGCGUAAAUAAAGGGAUAUGACGUCAUUGUCUGCAAGCUAGUUAUUGAGCAAACAACAAGUGCCUAUAUUGUCUGAGGAGAGUGUCAAGCUGGAGAACAGAACCAAACUAAGACUUUUGAUGAAUGUUGAAUUCUUAAAGCAAAAAAGACUUUUCUUUCCAUAACAGGUGGAUUUUACUUUUAAUUAUGACAUAAACAGAAAAAUACUUGGAAUGAUAUUCCUCCUGGUGUAUAUUUUGGAUCCCAAUAACUGGUUGUGUCCUGGAAGUUUGUUGGCAAGCUUAAAUAUCUUCUUAGAAACCAGUUGCAAUCUGGAAUAUAUCAAAACACAUCGCACUUGGAUUCGGCCCAGGGAAUAAGAACUCUUUCCUGAGAAACCCAGCUGAUCUGAGGCCAAAGAAAGAAAACUUGUGAAGUCCUGGGGAGAGGAUUCAGACACACAGGUCUCUUGUAUGGCCACUUAGAGAACUUGUCCCUUGCCUUCCCCAUAGAGAAAUUGAAUCUGUAUUACUGGAAACCACCAGUGGCAAUGUGCCUGCACAGCACAGCCUGGAUGUGAUUUUUAAACAUAAUCAUUUUAUUGAAAGAGGCCUCAUAGGUGUCACCAUGGGAAUGCAGAACAAAUACUACAUUCUAUUGGUUGAAACCAAGGUCAAAAUUGACAAAGCCUUCAGUCAUACUUCUGGGCGUAAAGGGGAGCUGAAGAGAAUGGUAUCCCCAAGAGAGUGAUCUGUUGCCCAGCAUGGGGGCAGGAGACAGUGAGGACUCAGCACCCUGAAGGUCUGGUGCACAGGGGUGUGUAUAAUGAUCACCACCACUUCACUCUCAACUCUUUGCUAUUCUUGGGCUUUCCUGGAGGUGAGAUCAUCGUGUCUGUGCAUUGAACUUAUUCUCCCGGAGUGCAUGGUUGGAACCUCACUCCUUCCAUUGUAUGGUACAGCUAGAUGGGUGGAUCUUUAGCUGGUAUAGAGGCCAUGAGGAUAGACCCCUCUGGAAUGAGUGCUCUGAUUGAAGGGACCAGAGGAAGCCUUUGACCUUUUGCUCUUCCUCAAGAAGCAAUGAGAAGCCACCUUUCUAACCCAGGACCCGAACACGUUGGCAUCUUGUUCUCAGCUACCGGGACCAUGAGAAAGGAUAUUUGGUUGUUUAUAGAUCACGCAGCCUCAGGCAUCUAAAACUUCGUGAAAACCCAUUAUUCCUACGAGAGGAAGGCUCCAGAAAAGAGCACAGAGAAGGGCUGUUAGGUAGCUUAGACGAACACCUAGGAGGCCCCACUCACCCCUGCAAUGAAAUGUGGGUCAUCAGUCUUCCAGCAAGGAUCCACAGUGUGAAACUGUUUACACACAGACGUCAGGAAACCAUUCAAAAGCAACAGAGAAAACCAAUUCCGAGAAGUAAAGCUGACAAAACUACUAGCAUUUGAGAGGGUAUGUGGCCAAGGAGCCAAGGACCUACAACAGGUUUCAAAGAUGGCAGCCGAUGCCCUUCACAGGGAAAGGGCACAUCCUGCUCUGUGUGGAGUCUGAAUGGCUAUUUAUGACACAGAACUGAGAGUGAGAUUCAAGCUCUGGCAGCAGCAUGUCUAGGAGACAGCAAAUGAGGAGCCACGCUGAGAAUCCGUCUGUCUCUAGGGCACUCUGGCUGCCACGGGGAAACACUCGUCAAAGAAGGGGAAUGGCCAAGAGAGAAGUAAAAGUCAGCAAAUGCAAUGAGUCUGGUCAUGAAGAAAAUUCCAGCCAGACCACAAUAUAUUCUCCCUGGCACUGAGCUAGCUGAUGGCAGAGAGCCAACCACCCUUGAGGAAAAGGAAUCGUAGGAAAGAUGAAGGACGUUCCCUGACAGAGGUGAACCUUUUGCUUUGUUACUUCAGUUGUCUCUGAGUUAAACCUGCUCUUUCCCAUGGGCAACAAUGUUUCACAGCAGUGGCGGAUGACCCUGGCUGGCCCUUAGAGCAAUUAGGAGACUUUAAAGAACAGGACUUCAUCAAUACCAAACAACAGAAUGUCUGGCGGAAUGGCAGGCAGGUGUUUUUGAUGGACCUCUGAGGGUGGUUCCAGCAUUCUUCCUUACUCAGCUUCCAGCUCGCUCUGCCACUCACUGCCUACCCCAUCUCUAUGCUAUGAUCUGUAUUAGUGCGAGAGCCUUCUUGCCCCUGAGCUGUGGCCUCCUGCCUAAAUCACACCUUGCUUGUCCAACUCUUUUCUCAAAACUGUGCAUUUUAGAGCACUGUGGACUCUUUAGCAGAACUGACCAGAAGCACAGAGCUAUCCUAUACCUCGCCUUCUUUAAACAGCUUUUCUCAUUGUCCACAUCUUCAACAGACUCUUGAACUUUAUAAGCGCAGAGAAAAUUAGUUGAGCCCAAGUGAGCAUAUACGUAUUUAUUUCUCUGCCCUUGAAUGUAGCUAUACUGUGAUUGGCUGCUUCAACUUCCUAUUUCUUUGACUGCUCCACAAUAAUGGACAAUAAAUUGAAACUGUGAGCUAAAAAACACUCUUUCCCGCCUAAGUUGAUUUUUGUCAGGAUAUCUUAUUAAAGCAAUAGAGAUAAAAUAGGAAUAAUCCCUUUGGUCAUUGUCCAUUCUCACCCUGGAGACUGCCUCAGGUUCUGCCUCCACUUGUCUUCCUCGCUUCAUAUAAUUUCAUGUAACAGAGAUCACAUGGACCAGCGAGCUAAAUAGAAAUCAGCAUGAGAUCAGGUAACACUGAGGAAUGCAUGUGUCUUAAAAAGUUGGUACCAUAUCUUCAAGACUCUUUGAGGGCUUUAAGCAGAUAAAUGGUGUGGGAUGAAUUGCUGGUUCAGUGAGAAUCCGGUCACUGCUUUUGGGACUAGGAAGAGUGGAGCCAAUUCAUUCAUUCAGAUUUAUUCAGGACAUCAGACAAUUUACACUCUGAGGGUUAAGAAGACUCACAUGAAUAUAAUGUACUUACAAGGACAAGCUGCACACGCACGGCAAAGACAUGCUUUCCCAUAGAGCCAUAAACAUUUAAUUGAAUGACACCAGCAGGCAAUAAUGAGUAUCUGAAGUAAGCUCACCCAUCCCCCACAUCCGAGGCGAGCAGGAAAACAUACUCCAGGAACAAUUCUGUGUUUUGAAGAAACUAAGUCACAAGAUUCUUGUUUUCUUGAAGUUUUCUCACAAGCACUCAGAAUUCUCACAUGGAUCUAUUCCUGAACCACAGUCCCAUGAAAGCCUGGAGAGAGAGAGAGAGAGAGAGAGAGAGAGAGAGAGAGAGAGAGAGACAGACAGACAGACAGACAGACAGACAUAGAAGGACAGAGACUAAGAAAGAUCCCUCAGGUCAACCUUUGGCUUCCACAUGCAUGUGCAUUUAUGUGCAUGAACAUCCACUGGCACACAUGUAUACACACAGGUACACAGGUACAUAUGUACAUAUCAUACACACACAUACAAUAACACACAAACAUACACCGCAUGCUGUGAUAUUUUCAACCUAUGCUAGGUGGUGCGUCCACAGUGGGGUAGCAUUUCUGCUUCAGUCUAUUGCAAAGUCAGCCUAGAGGGUCAGGGCAGAUUUGUAGACUUGAGUUCAGCUACUGAGGAGAAAGGACAGGACUGGGUCCAGGUGAACCAAUAUUUGGUGGGUGAACGGCAGGUUAGACAGGUAAACAGGCAGGGGACAACUCAAGCCACAUCAGAUGUGGGUACUAAAGCAAGAUGGACCCUGAAGAGUUGGGUGUGCUCUGUGAGUGGUCCUUAAUGCACACAGAUAGUGGUGCACCAACAGGUGAGUGGGGCCAUCACAGUGAUGAAGCUAGAUGUGGGCCUGGCACCUCCAACACGUUGUGGUCUCCAAGGCAACCCAGGCUUCACCUUCAUAGCUUCAUGCAGUGGCCACUCUAGACCUCAAUUCAGAGAAACCCCUGACAUACACCUGGCCUCAGAGGCUUUCUCUAGUUGUGGGGGGAGAGUCUAUAACUCCUUUCUUCUAUCCUUGAUUCUAAAGACAGAGCCAUUAGCCAAAGUUGCCAAGUUCUGCUGCUUGCUGGACCUGGACCUUUUUCAAUUACACCUUUAUCAGCUUUGUUUUCAAUGGCUUCCUUCACAGCCUAAGCUUAGCCGUUCUGAAACUCACUCUGCAGACUAGGCUGGCCUAGAACUUAGUCUUCUUACUUUCUGAGUUCCUGGAUUAAAGGUGUGCACCACCAGGCCUGGCCCUAAGCUUUUCUUUAAUUCCUUUUCACUUUUGUCUUACUUAGGGUUCUAUUUUUGUGAAGAGACACCAUGACCAUGGCAACUCUUACAACGGCAAACAUUUGAUUGGGGUGGCUUGCAGUUUCAGAGGUUGAGUCCAUUAUCAUUAAGGUGGGAAACAUGGCAGUGUCCAGGCAGAUGGUGCUGGAGGAGCUGAGAGUUCAUCUUGAUCCACAGGCAGCAGGAAAGAGAUUGACUUCUGCGAUUGCAAAGCCCACCCCCAGUAACAAGCCUCCUCCAACAAAGGCCACACCUCCUAAUAGUGCCACCCCCAAUGGAUCUAUGAUUUUAUUCAAAACACCAAAGAUGUCUUCCUCCUUACGGAGCCAGGAUGAGAGAAUUGGACCCUUUCCUCAGCCUGAUGAGCUAAGUCCUCGGGCCUGUUUUUCCUGAUAAGAUUUUAAGAUGCCAUGUGCUCCUUUCUUUCUUUUUUUUUUUUCUUUCAUUUUUUCGGAGCUGGGGACCGAACCCGGGGCCUCUACCACUGAGCUAAAUCCCCAACCCCGUCAUGUGCUCCUAAAUCUCAAUUCACCUUGGUAAGCUGAUAUGUGGCACUCUCUUCUAGAAAUCAGUGUUUGAUCAGUCUGUGCUGCAUGGGUGUGCCUGGAAAAUGGUGCUGGUUAUGUGCCUAUCCAGUUGUGGACUCAGUCAUCCUUUAUCCUCAAAACAGACCCAAAUCUGCUCUUCUGAGGACAAGUACAAUCUAAAAAGAAAAAGCCAUCAGUUUAUGCAAUAUGCUCUCAACGCCACCUCCAACCUCAUUUGUCCAGUUUGUAAGACAGACAGACACACAGACCGACAGAUAUAUGUUACGUUCCUAAAGUCAAAAGAUACUACCUUAUAUAGUUAGCAGUUCAAAAUGGAACUGCAGUGUCCUAUGCAUUUAGCAAGAUGACGGGGCCGUGUGCGCACUUGCACAUAUUAAAACCCGAUCAGGCAAACAGACCCAAGAACUUGUGAACACAGUAGACUGAGAAUAGAACAUCUUUCCCUGGACCCCACAAGCAGAGGACCCGAAACACUGAGAUGGUGAUGGCCCAGCAACCUGUUACCGGACCUCCAAGUGUGAG
ensembl:lncRNA